AGGCAGCGCUGCCCAGAGCGAGAGGAAGAUGAAGGUGGCUGUGCUCAGCGUGGCCCUGCUCUUCUCCAUCCUGCUGUGCCCCCCGGCACAGGCCAAGGCACUCCUGGAAGGAACCCAAGAUGAUCUCCGGGAGCUGGAUUUAGGCAAUGUCGCGGAGCUGGAGACGCCUCUGCCCUUUCGGGAUGAAGAGCUGCGGGCUCUUCUGCGGUAUAAACGCCUGGCUGCCUCUCUGGAUGCCUAGGAUUGGAAGCUGUGGGGACAUUGGUGUCCCGAUCCCCUCUGGCGGUGUGAGGAGAUGAUCAUCCCUGGAGGAACCCUCUGAUCCCUGUGAGCCCUGGGCUAUUCCCCCUCAAUAAUCAAUAAACCCUUUCAGCAAAG